GCGGGCGUAGCUUAGCGGUCUAAAGCGCUGCCCUGUCACGGCAGAGAUCGUGGGUUCAAAUCCCAUCGCCCGCG
rfam:Parcubacteria group bacterium RIFCSPHIGHO2_02_FTLL_48_10b rifcsphigho2_02_scaffold_6962, whole genome shotgun sequence.